rnacentral:lncRNA from 1 species
CAUGAUGUUGUGAUGUGGAAUACUGAUAACCAAAAAUCAUAAAACCAUGACAAAACAUUAUCAAAUAUUAUGCACUUUUAAAUCUACAAAUACUUAGAUUUCAGCUUUUAUGGUAUGUUUGUUAAUAGAAAAAAGAUUUUGCAAAAGUUUGCAGGCUUUGGUUACCACAGCUUUUUGUCAUCUGUGCAAAUUUCUCUUCCUUCUUAUAAGAGCUUGUUCUUACUCUUAGAAUUGUCACAUUAUACUGCAGCUCUCAGAACAACAGAUUUUCCCUUCUCUAUUACUUAUGAGCUGAAAAUUUGGUCACCUAUGACAUGAAUUUCUUUGAGAGAUUGGUGCAAAAAUGUUUAUCCUUGAAAGUUUUUACUCCAGGAUGUCUAAAGAUCUAGUUUCUCAUAAAGGCUUGUUUGUGAUAGACACAAAACACAGCAUAUAAAAUAUAGAAGUCUUGCAGGUUCGAGAGAGAUUCCUGUCUAAACAUUUGAUAAGUAGGUAAAUCACAUGCCUAGGUAAUAAUAAAUAAUUACAAUUGGUAGGAUGAACCAUAGAAUGCUAGUUGCUCAUUAUCUCUUAAGCAUUCGGGGGAAAGCUGGCAUAAAUAUGGUCCUAUACUGGUGUUAAUUUCUCCUCACAUUUUAAUAUUGUGCUUUGUCAAGCAAUUACUUCAUUGGAAAGCCCCAAUAAUUUUGAUUUUCUUCACUGUCCAUUCCAAAAAGUCAGACACCUGCAAUACAUCAUGCGUCAUUCUGUCCUCUGUAUUCUCAUAAACCUGAAAGUGUCAUUUUAUUUCCAUGUGAAUCUCUCCAUAAUUCUUUUUCAUCUGUUUACAAGCAUUUUAUUCAAAGAUUUACUGAAGAACAUAAUCAGGGAAAUGACUCUUGGGGCUUUUUAUUUAGCCCUUGUUCAAGUAAGGUCACUUUUGACAUAUUAAUGACUGCCUGGUUAAGAUCUAGUUGGGAUUUCUUAAAACACACGACACUGAACCUUGCUUGAGCUCUUGUCUUUCCCAGCACUCUUUACUUCUAAACCAGGUUUCUUAGAAACAGUUUUUUUUUCUUUUUCUUUGUGCAAUUGUCAGUUGAUGUCUGCAAAAUAAGCUGUGUGAGACCAUCAUUUUUCAUUUUCUGAUGUUACACUAAUUUUAAGGUGUUAUGCUUAUUGUGGUUUUGGUUGUAUACUCUCGAUUUCUGUUUAGUGGAAUUAAAAUAAAAUAUAUUAAUGAUUAGC